rnacentral:tRNA from 1 species
UGGCGGAUCGUCUAAUGGUAGGACAGCGGUUUUUGGUGCCGCACGUCUAGGUUCGAAUCCUAGUCCGCCAGCCA